ACCGUUUAUCUAUUAUUUUAAUAUUAUAAGUACGAGUGUACACUUAGUUAUAUUAAUCAACAAUAUUUUGAAAUCUACAGAUUAUGAUUGUGUACCAUUUACGAUACACACUUUUAGUACUUAGUUUUACGACGUGCUAUGUGAAAACAAUUUUUUUUUAAUUUUUUAUUUUUUCGUUUUAUCUAGAUUAUGUAUCUAUAAUCAAAUUUUCGCUUAGGUACGUUUUUUCCUAUUUAUCUGUAUAGAUAAUU